GGCGUAUUUAUUAAAAAUAUAUUUUAAUUAUAGUGUAAUUAUAAUGUGGUGUAGUAAGUAACGUAAUUACCCUUAAAUUAUUUCAUUUGAACGAAAAAUUACAAAAUUGCUCUUCCCUUGAUUACAUAAGUGACAAUAUCAGUCUUUCUAAAAUGUGGAAAUAAUCACCUGGGCACGAGUGCAUCAGCAUUGAGUUCUCAACUUUUUCGUGAUCAUCACCCCAACCAGUGAGUCAUCACUCAUCUGGAGAAUUUCAUUCACGCUUUCUGUUGUUCUUGCUUCAUUAGUUGCAUGAAUUCCCCAAAUACUGCCACAGAAUAAUUUUGUUAG
rnacentral:lncRNA from 1 species